rnacentral:rRNA from 72 species
GGUUAAGCGACUAAGCGUACACGGUGGAUGCCCUGGCAGUCAGAGGCGAUGAAGGGCGUGCUAAUCUGCGAUAAGCGCCGGUAAGGUGAUAUGAACCGUUAUAACCGGCGAUACCCGAAUGGGGAAACCCAGUGUGACUCGUCACACUAUCAUUAACUGAAUCCAUAGGUUAAUGAGGCGAACCGGGGGAACUGAAACAUCUAAGUACCCCGAGGAAAAGAAAUCAACCGAGAUUCCCCCAGUAGCGGCGAGCGAACGGGGAGGAGCCCAGAGCCUGAAUCAGCAUGUGUGUUAGUGGAAGCGUCUGGAAAGGCGCGCGAUACAGGGUGACAGCCCCGUACACAAAAGCGCAUGUGCUGUGAGCUCGAUGAGUAGGGCGGGACACGUGGUAUCCUGUCUGAAUAUGGGGGGACCAUCCUCCAAGGCUAAAUACUCCUGACUGACCGAUAGUGAACCAGUACCGUGAGGGAAAGGCGAAAAGAACCCCGGCGAGGGGAGUGAAAAAGAACCUGAAACCGUGUACGUACAAGCAGUGGGAGCACCC